AAACGACUCUCGGCAACGGAUAUCUCGGCUCACGCAUCGAUGAAGAACGUAGCAAAAUGCGAUACUUGGUGUGAAUUGG
rnacentral:rRNA from 1 species